rnacentral:misc_RNA from 1 species
CCAGAGAGAGAAAGAGAGAGAUGGUGAAUUGUACGCGGAUGGGAUCCAGCAGUGUUUAUACUUGCAACUGCCACUACUAUUACUUCACUUCCUGGUUUUGAUUCAUUGAAACUCACAUUCCAUUUCUCACUGAUUGUUCAGGUGCCCUAUCAUAUUACUAUCCAUAUAUUCAAUUUCAUUUCCAUUUUGUCCUUAAGAUUUUUGCUCUAUUGCAUCUCGAUUUUUGCUCUAUUGCAUCUCUUUGUUUAGCCCACUAUUGAACUCUCAGCGUUUAUUAUCCCUAUUUCUUUUUCUAGAUCUUUGGCAUUUUCUGGGCAAUUUCUUUCUUUGUUCAAUAUGUUGACAUGCGUGUUUUCUGUUUUCCUGAUUUGGGUGAUGGUUUUCUGUAUUUGCAGGAUGCUAUUGAUUUACUAUGUGUGUGCGUGCUUUUUUGUUUAGAUGGGUAUGCAUUUUGUAUGAGUAUUGAUAUAGAAAGAAUCGGCCUAGGUAUAAUAUCUUCCUCUGUUGGUUGCUGAGAGAAUGUGACUGAACUAAGUUUCGAAUUUUGAAUAUUAGAUUUCUCAUUGUCUGAAAACUUGACAAAAGAAAAAAAAUCUUUGACAAUAUGAACAAUGUUGAGAAUUUUUUGAAAAUCCAGGUUUUGAGUUGGUGUCAAACACAGGAGUUUGCUGAUUUGGAUAUUUGACCGAACAGGAUUUUUUUAUGUUCUUUGGGAAUGGAAUAACUUAGUUGAAGUAUCCAAGAUCCAAUGGGAUUCCAUUAGUUUCCAAAUUUCUUGUUUUUACAUAUUUUGGAUAUUGUUAGAAAUGAAUAUCUUUUUCCUCUUUAUCUAAAUUCUGCAGUCUGGGAUGGUGUAGACUGUGGUUAGACAUAAAUAAUUGGUUAAAUUUCAUAUCCUUUCAAGUUUGGAUGCUUCUUGUUGAUUUCAUGACACCAAGCAUUUUGUGUUACCAUAUCAUCUUUAGGGUUUCAGCCCAGUGCCCCUUCUAAGCAGUUCAUUUUUUUCAUUUCCCAUUGGUUUUCAUUUUGCUGAUUCUCUUGAAUCGUUUUGGAUAGUUGUGCUGUGAUUUUUUUGAUGCCAUUGGAUGCCUGUGUAGAUAACCAAUUUUCAGUGCCUUGGCAACAAAUAGAAUGAAAGAUUUAACUUUUUCAACAUUCUGUUUCUGUCUUGCAUUUGUAUUUCUAACUGAACAAUGAGGAAGAAAAUCAGUUCUCCGGUAGGUAUAUUUUCCAUUCGUCCUGUUAUGCUCCCGAUUAAGCAAAAGCUUAUACCUCAAAUGGUAACUAGAUCAUGCAGCCAUAUAUUGUAUAAAUUCCGAAGCAAUAUUUUUUUUUUCUAAUCACUUAUUCAUGAGAAUUAAUGUAUCUAAUGUUGCUUCAAAUAACUUGGAUGCUCUUCUCUUCAAAUUGGUGAAAUGUUUAUGUUAGUUCCAAUCAUCCAGGCUAUGACCACAUAUUGGAUUUCUUAGUUUUGCCAAAUAACCUAUAAAUAUUUUGAAACUGUCAAGAUUCUGAUAAUAUUGUUUAAUUUGAUUAUAACGAUUUUUCUCGUUGGUUUAGCAGCCAAUAGAUGUUGGGAAGUAAAUGAAUUUCAAAGUUGUAUGUUUUGUUUUUUGUUUCAAUAUUCAGGCUUUUAUAAUCACAUAAAGCUCCAUUAAGCUAAUAUUUUAUGUGAUGGUCAGCGGAUUACUUUCUAGUUGCGCCAUAUAUUCUGUUUGAUAUUUUUUAGUUGUUUUAUGUUUCUGUUUUUCUUCUGAGAGAGUGACCCGAGCUUUGUCUUUUGCAUUCUUAAUAUGUUAGAAUUUUCAUUUUUCUUUUCUUGUUUUGUUUAGAAAUGUAAAAUCUUAAUAAUGAAAUUUUUUCCUUCUGUAGCAAAUAAUGCUUUGUUCUAUUCUUGUAUUUCCCCUCCAGCCCUGUUCUGUCUGUUUGCCUGUCUAGUAGGCAGUCUUUUUCAGGUCAGAUUUUUUGUUUUGAAAUUUGGUUAUGGGAGCUUUAGUAGCUUUUUUCCCCUAAAAAGUUUAUGAGGGCUUGAAUAAACCUUCCUGUUUUCCUUUUCAAAUUUCAGUGGGACACAGAGAAUCAUUUCAGUGAAGCACUAGUUCACUUGGUUUCUUUUGGGUUCAUUCAAUAAGCUUGAUUGGCUCCAGAUACACAUCUCAUUAGCUCAGCAAUGGCCUUUUUGUGUCGGACAGGCCAGAGCAACCCAAAGAAAGAACUCCAACAAUGAGUUCAACAACUAUGCCUUAUACUGGUGGUGACAUUAAGAAGUCAGGAGAAUUGGGAAAAAUGUUUGAUAUCCCUGUGGAUGGCUCUAUGUCUAGGAAAUCUGGG